AAAAUAUUGUGGUAAUAUAAAUUAAAACUUUCAGUUGUAUGAAAUAUGUUGUAAAUUCCCGAUCUUACAAUGGUGGAAGCAAUUGUUUCCAAUCAAACCCCAACCACUUGUAAUGUAAUCUGAGUAAAUUUUCUUUUUAGCGAAGUUUUACAUUUAACAAAUAUUCUGCCAAAUCCGAGAGAAAAGAAUUUGUUAAAAAUAAACUUUCCUUUAAAAAAUGCAAUUAAAAUACUCGAAAUAUUACAUCUAUGACGUAAAACUCGUGACGUAACGCGUGACGCAUUGCAACGACAAAUUCGAAUUCGUUCCAUUUCGUAUUGUUGCCGACGCCAUCUUGGAAAUUUAUGCUUUCCGGAAAUUGCGAGUUCUUUUUCCCUCCAUUUUAACAUUUUUCGUACAAAUUUUAAUAAUGAAAACUCGCGUAACGAAGAAGUAUCAUUCUCAAAUUUUAUAAUCCACUUUCCAAAGAGACAUGGAAUCAUUUUAAAAACUUCUUGUGCUCAAAAAAUUAACAAGAAGCAAAACAAAGGAAAGAUUUAACUGAUUGUGAGCACUUAAAGCCAGGAGUUGUGUGACAUCAUUUAGGCUUCUGACAUACCAAUAGAGCAGCUAUGUGACAUGUAUGUAUGAAAAUUACUUUGUGGAUAAUCAACUCAAUGGUUAUCUGCUCCACACACCUUCCUUUAGAAAAUGUUGAUAUUGAACUUUGUCACUGCAAUCUUUUAACAAACAUUUCCAUUAUGACAAAGAGCAUGCAACAUUUUCUUCUAUAAAUGGUCAGUGAACUACUUUACUUUACUUUUAUAUUCCCGGGACCAUUUUAAUUUUAAAUUUUGUAAAAAUUGGCAUUCAGAGUUUGAUUUGUCUUGAUGUUCAUUUUGGAUUAAUUAGCCCUAUGUUAAUUAAGCACAAUAAAAUUAGGUUCAAAUUUUCUUUAUCAUAUAUAAUGUAAUAGAGAUAGCUGUAAAAGCAGAUUAUAAAUUAUGAAUUAUUG
rnacentral:lncRNA from 1 species